UGGAUUCUGAUUUAGUUUUUAGAAUUUUGUGUUUUCUGUCUUUUAACAAUCCAUUGUGGAAAUGUCUUGGCAGAAGUGAAGGAUUGGAUUUGUGCUUCAGAAGGAGGCUGUGACUCUGUGGAGGUGGCUGGAGGAAGGUGAACCGAGGCCUAGUGAAAUCCGCCUUUUAGGGCAAAGAUGAAGAAAGAUCUGAAUUUCUGUGACUCCUGAUGAUUCUGGAGAUACAAAAGGUUUAGUGGGAGGUAGGAGCAAAAGCAACAUCGGAUACAGCAAAGAUUGUGGAGGAGAAGGACUGAUGAGCUGCCAUCUGAUUAAUCUACUGCUUUCAGUAAAUUUGGCUCAAGGGGACAGCAGGAAGAGAUGAGAGAAACAAGAAGGGCUCUGGUCACGAUGCUUUAUGGAUCUGAAAAAAAAAAAACAAAAA